rnacentral:tRNA from 1 species
GGCUCUGUGGCGCAAUGGAUAGCGCAUUGGACUUCUAAUUCAAGGUUGUGUUCGAGUCCCACCAGAGAUG